AGGGAGGAUUAAGCUGCCUUUUUGAAAGAGGAGCGCCAGGUCCCCGAUUCUGGGCGGAGGUGGUUGCUGAUUGGUGGAACUCGAGGCGGCGGUUGGGAGGGUCCUGGUCACGUGGGGAGAGUGGGCGGGGGAAGUUCGGAGAGCGGGAGCUGGAUUGUAGUGGGCUGGGCCCCACUGAGCUGGGAUGGCAGGAGGAUAGUCUUGGGGAGGAGCGUGGGGUGCUGGAUGCAUAACUACGUCCCGAACUGGUUCCUGUGUUUUUCUAGGGCAUGUGGGCUAGGGAUGGGUACUUGAGCAGAAGCCAGCAACUUGAAUGAAGAGUCUGUGCAGGAGUUACCUGCAGUGUCGGAAAUGACUGUCCUGUAUGCUCAACAAGCUCAUUUAUGGAAAGUCAUCCAUUUGUUGAGACCAGCCCAAAAGACCCUCAGGAACUUAGAAUAUUCCUACCGACUUUGAAGACCAUAGCCCCAAAGCUGAGCUGUGAAAUGGAGCAGCAAAGAAGAGUAUCAUUGUCAAAGCUCAAGUUCCAUCAGAAUGAUAAAGAUAUAGCGCACUCACGUAAAUGA
rnacentral:lncRNA from 1 species